rnacentral:rRNA from 1 species
CGGAAGGAUCAUUAUUGAGAGGGGGGCUCUGCGCCCCAGGGGCUUGCCCCGCACCUUUCCACCCUUUGUGUAUUUUCCACCAUUGCUUUGGCGGGCGCCGGGGCUUCCUCCCCGGCGCCGGCCCCGUUACAGGGGCUGACGAGCGCCCGCCAGAGGCCCAUCUAAAUCCUGUUUAUCUAUCAGUGCAGUCUGAGUUUACGAACAAUCAAUCAAAACUUUCAACAACGGAUCUCUUGGUUCUGGCAUCGAUGAAGAACGCAGCGAAAUGCGAUAAGUAAUGUGAAUUGCAGAAUUCAGUGAAUCAUCGAAUCUUUGAACGCACAUUGCGCCCUUUGGUAUUCCGAAGGGCAUGCCUGUUCGAGCGUCAUUACAUCCCUCAAGCCUUGCUUGGUAUUGGGCGUUCGCCCCCCCCGAGCCGGGGAGCGCGUCCGAAAUUCAGUGGCGGUCCAGGUAGACUUCAAGCGCAGUAGACUCAAUUGUUCGCUUUGGAAGCCUUCUGCCUGCGGCCCCGCCAGCGAAACCUUUUGAACGCCCCCAACGAUUGACCUCGGAUCAGGUAGGGAUACCCGCUGAACUUAAGC